CGCCUCUUUUAGUUCGCAGUGUUCCUUUUUCUCCCAAACCUUAAAUCAAAUCAGAUUCUUCAAUCUCUUGGCCGAUCAUAAUCAACCACACCUUAUUGUGAUUCACUAGCAGUUCGUAUGAGUUCAGGGAAACCUCAUCACAAUUUGAAAAAAAAAAAAAUUAUCACCGAAUCUUCAGUUUACAAAAUCAACAACAAAUCAACCAAAUCUUAAGUAAAAUGUUUUGCAGUCACCGAAAUAACAAUUAUCCUAUUCGUGAAGCUAGCGGUGCAAAGAACUACCAGAUUUGAUAAAUGGGAAGUUGAAGAGAGGAUAGUCUUGAAGCUUCUAAGAGUUAUUUCUGAAGUUUGAAGCCUAACUUGUUCAGAUCCGUAGAGAGUUGAAGAGUCUCUAACAAACCCCCAAUUUCUUACUCUUUUUAUAAUUUUUUUCCCUCAUUUUUUUCAUCAAAAUCUGAAGUAAUGGGUAUAGGGAUUUGAUUAGAUUAGCCAUUUAGUUCUUCUCAAAAUCUAUGCUACCAGAUCAAGUUCAAAUAACUACGAUUGAAAUCCAUUCAAGGUUCUUUUAAUGAUGGUGUGGUAGUGGUGAUGAACUAAGAAUAAUUGUUUCAAAUGAAAGAUUUGAGAAGGUUAUUGGUCUAAUUUUCUGUUGUCUGGACUCGUUCGUUAAGACAAUUGAGGUGUGGAAACAAGAGACUAUAUUGAGCAAAAGACCAGCAGCAAAAUUGCACUUUGAGUCUUAGAGAAAAAUCCUGAAAGAACAGGAAAAGGGUGUGUCCUAGAGGGAUACAAUGGGACGGUGAUGGCUUAUGGACAGACUUGCACAUGGAAGACAUUUACUCUUGGACUGCUCGGAGAGGAGAGGAAGAUACUGCAGCUCGUGGUAGUAUGGUUCGAGCGAUGGAGGAUAUCUUAGCUGAUGUUCCUCCAAGCGGAUUAUGUGUCAAUUUCUUAGUCGCAGAUUAAAGCUAUGUGACACAUGGUAGAAAACAGUCCACAUGAAGUCACAAGGUUGCUUCGAGAUUCUUUUGGAGGCGCAAUAAGAACCUCAUUGGUUGUUACGAUCAGGCCAUCUCCCGUCAUUGGGGAGACACUUUAAGUACAUUUAUCGUGUUUGGAAAACAGGCUAUGAAAGUGGAGAAUAUGGUGGAAGGCAGCAGAAAGUAUUCCAUGGUGAGCUUGAAAGAAUAGCUGUAGAAGCACAAGGUCGUGUCUCUGAGGAGCUAUUCAUAAGCAUUGGAGGGAAUCCCGGUUUGUGUUCAUGAAGGCGUGGUGAUGCAACUGCAUUUAAUGCAUCUAGAUCGCUCUUAGGUCUGUGCCUACUGCUGGUGGUGUUAAGAUCUCGUGCUGAUACCACUUUGGAAUUUUCGCUAUUCGCUCAUGAGUGUUGGCUUGAUCCUUCACAUGGCAAAGGCUCAGAAGAUAGUUGAUGGUGGUCUUUGGAGCAGUUGCAGUAUGAAGUAUAUGUGUGGAAGAACCCUGAUUUUGGGUAUGCCAAAAUCUUCUUAGGCAUAUAAAGCACAAGUCCUAACUUGGGUGACCUUAUAAGGGGUACCCUAUGGGGUGGUUCAAUUAUUUAUAUGCCCUUAAAUCCUUUAAAUUACUAUUAAUCUAUCCCUAACCCUAAUACAAAACCUAUAAUCAACUACACCUAAAAUCAAUUUCAUUCACCUUCUUCUUUUUCCU